CGGGUCGAGAGUGCGCCGUCAUCUGACUCCGCUUCCAGACCUCUUCCAUUUACGUUUAUUUUUUAGGGUGUCACUGCCUCGUCAUAUUACCUUGUUCCCUUCACACGGGGAUGAAUGAGGUCACCUUAGAGGUCGCGGCUGGCUUGAACUCGACGCUGACCCAGGUCACCUCGGCCCUCAGGUGGGUGCUAGCUUGCGUGACCUCGGUGCUCUUGGACGAGGAAGGUCAGGUGUCCUCCAGGUCGCUGCAUCAGGUCAGAGAGACUGUCAUUAGUGGCUGGACUGAUUUGAUUUGGUGGCUUGGAUUUACACCCCUGCAAAGCCAUGUUUUUAAAGCCUUUGCCAUCAUUCUGAUUGCCAAUUUUGUUCUGAUCACUGUCUUCUGGUAUGUGUAUGCCCAGCGGAUCUCACACACGCUCUCUUACAACAGCCUACGCAUUGUUGAGGACAUCCUGAAGAGGAACACAAACUUCAAAAUCAACAAAGAUAAUCCUGCUCGCCCUUAAUAUUUAACUCGAGGACGGAACAUCUGAACCAUGGAGGCAUUAAAGAAAUUCUUUGAUAAAAAGAAAGCUGACACAAAGUUCAAGCUUGCAGGCAAGGGACACAGUUUGACAAAGGAGGAGAAUGAUCGUCCCAAAUCAUCGAAACAGAGUUACCCGAACCAGAGGCAUGCUCCAACGCAGGAUGCUCAACGAGCUGGUGCUGCAGCUCUGGCAAGGAUGGAGCAUCAAUCAAAACUAGUGGAUGUUGAUUGGU
rnacentral:lncRNA from 1 species